ensembl:miRNA tni-mir-26 tni-mir-26
GCGUUAGGCCUCGGCCUGGUUCAAGUAAUCCAGGAUAGGCUGGUUAACCCUGCACGGCCUAUUCUUGAUUACUUGUGUCAGGAAGUGGCCGCCAGC